CUUCAUGACAUUUUGCGCAGCUUUAAGUGAUUCUUUUGCCAAUUUACAGGCAUCAUGUAAACGUUCUCUGAAACGGCUUACAUAACUAAGAACAUUCAUUUUUGGACUUUCCUUAAUUUCCAAAAUGUUCUCUUUCAGAAGUUUAAGAGGAGUUCGCAAAUCGUGACCGAAUACAAGCUGAGCGGGGCUAAACCCGAGAGACUCUUGGAUAGUUUCUCUCACCGCUAAUAGUACCAAUGGAACGCCCUCAUCCCAGUCUUUGCAGGUAUCCGCACAGUAUUUCUUUAACAUAGACUUGAGCGUCUGGUGAAAUCGCUCGAGAGCACCUUGACUUUGUGGGUGAUAAGCACUUGAUACUCGGUGGGUGAUAGACAAUGAUUUUAGAACUUGAGCAAACAUUUUUGACAUAAAAUUUGAUCCUUGGUCAGUUUGUAUGAUUUUUGGUAAGCCGAAUGUGGAGAAAAAUUUAAUCAAUGAUUUGAUUAUAAGAGGAGCUGUAAUUCUGCGGAGCGGUAUUGCCUCGGGAAAUCGAGUAGCAGUACACAUUAUUGUAAGUAAAAACUGAUUACCUGUUUUGGUUUUAGGUAAUGGACCCACACAAUCAAUAAUUACAUGUUCAAAUGGCUCUCCUAUGACUGGGAUAGGAAAAAGAGGAGCAGGUGGAAUUACCUGGUUUGGCUUCCCCAUGCAUUGGCACGUAUGGCAGGUCGGGAAGUAGCAGUCGGAAUACGUGGAAAAUUCACAGACUGAACAGUGGGAUUUUUAUCCGAUCGGACUGGAUAGAACACAUUUUUGUGCGUAAGCACAAACUCAUCUGCCAACACAGCUGCCUGUGACAACGACAUAACUUUUUGUUCGUUAAGGUACGAGUUCAUAAGCACGGAGGAUUGCUGAUUUAGCAGUAUCAUAAUUAAGGCUGUCCUCUAAGGACAGUGUAGCAAAAACCUCCUGUGCCUUUCCAACCAAUUUGCACUGGAGAAGAAGGGACCAUGAAUCUUUAGGCCAGCGAAAAGAAGCCGCUAUGCGCUCGAAAGCGCUAAAAUAUGUAUCGACUUCGGAUUCCCUAAAUAUUGGUACGAGAGAUACAUAUUUGCUUAUAUCGAAGGUGGUUGAGGUUGGAUCGCCCACCGGAGCAACAGAGGUCUCAGCACGGGUGGACUGCGCAGCCACUUUAGGAGGAGUUUUUAAAGCCUCCAACUCCAGCUGACGCAGCUUCACCUCUUUUUCGGCCGUAACUUCAAGCCUGCGGAUUUCGAGUCUCAGUUCCAUCUCAGCCUGACGCGCUUGUGCCCUUUCCUGUGCCUCAAACUGUAAACGGGCCAGGCGGACUUUUAAACGUCCAUCCUCUUUAGACCCAGAAUAAACGGGGGAAAACGGAUCGAAAGGUGACAGUGUUGGCUUGCCUUCAGUGAGCGCAGCCGCAGCACCGCUUUCAUUUCGCCCUUCAUCCGGCUCAUCUGCACUUGAGCUUUGCGCGCCAGCACCAAGAAACUCGGUUUCUUCCUCUUCCACAACAGGCAUUAUGAGAACCUUUAAUUCAACCAACCUUUCGUAUAAGGCACUCUUAAUAUUUUUCUUAAGAGCUUGUUUUACCACUGAAAUUUUGAAAUGGUCCGCUAUCUGUAUUAAAUCAUCUUUUCUACAGCGGUCGAAUUGUUCUACGGUUGGAUUAUUAAUAAAUGUCUGUAAAUCAAACAAUGCCAUCCUGUUUAUUUACUUAUACCAGAAACAAC